GCCCAGGUUGCCUAGUGGUUAGAGCGUCCGUCUCGGAUGCGAGAGAUUGUGGGUUCGAUCCCCGGCUGAGUCA